rnacentral:rRNA from 1 species
AGACUCAGUGAAAUUGAACUCGCUGUGAAGAUGCAGUGUACCCGCGGCAAGACGGAAAGACCCCGUGAACCUUUACUAUAGCUUGACACUGAACAUUGAGCCUUGAUGUGUAGGAUAGGUGGGAGGCUUUGAAGUGUGGACGCCAGUCUGCAUGGAGCCGGCCUUGAAAUACCACCCUUUAAUGUUUGAUGUUCUAACGUGGACCCGUAAUCCGGGUUGCGGACAGUGUCUGGUGGGUAGUUUGACUGGGGCGGUCUCCUCCUAAAGAGUAACGGAGGAGCACGAAGGUUGGCUAAUCCUGGUCGGACAUCAGGAGGUUAGUGCAAUGGCAUAAGCCAGCUUGACUGCGAGCGUGACGGCGCGAGCAGGUGCGAAAGCAGGUCAUAGUGAUCCGGUGGUUCUGAAUGGAAGGGCCAUCGCUCAACGGAUAAAAGGUACUCCGGGGAUAACAGGCUGAUACCGCCCAAGAGUUCAUAUCGACGGCGGUGUUUGGCACCUCGAUGUCGGCUCAUCACAUCCUGGGGCUGAAGUAGGUCCCAAGGGUAUGGCUGUUCGCCAUUUAAAGUGGUACGCGAGCUGGGUUUAGAACGUCGUGAGACAGUUCGGUCCCUAUCUGCCGUGGGCGCUGGAGAACUGAGGGGGGCUGCUCCUAGUACGAGAGGACCGGAGUGGACGCAUCACUGGUGUUCGGGUUGUCAUGCCAAUGGCACUGCCCGGUAGCUAAAUGCGGAAGAGAUAAGUGCUGAAAGCAUCUAAGCACGAAACUUGCCCCGA